rnacentral:rRNA from 1 species
UUCCUCUUAGGACAAGAGGUAAGGCCUGCUCACUGAAUUUUAAAGAGCCGCAGUAUUUUGACUGUGCUAAGGUAGCAUAAUCAUUAGUCUUUUAAUUGGAGACUGGUAUGAAUGGCUUAACGAGAGAUCCUCUUUUUUUGUUGUAGAUAAUUGAAUUUAUUUUUUUAGUGAAAAAACUAAAAUAUUCCUGAAAGACGAGAAGACCCUAUAGAGUUUUAUAUGGAUAAAUGUCAUUUCGUAUUAGACCUGGAGCGAAAUGGUUUAAUUCUAUAAUUUGUUGGGGCGACAUUAAGAUAAAAAAAACUCUUUUUUUUAUAAACUUUUAUAAAUGAAAAUAUUUGAUCCUUUAAAAAAGACAAUAAGAAAAAAUUACCUUAGGGAUAACAGCGUAAUCUUUUUUGAGAGUUCUAAUCGACAAAAAGGUUUGCGACCUCGAUGUUGGACUAAAAUUUAGGUGGGGUGCAGCAGCUUCACUUUAAGGUCUGUUCGACCUAUAAUAUUUUACAUGAUCUGAGUUCAGACCG